rnacentral:rRNA from 1 species
UACGUAGGGUGCGAGCGUUAAUCGGAAUUCUGGGCGUAAAGCGUGCGCAGGCGGUUAUGUAAGACAGUUGUGAAAUCCCCGGGCUCAACCUGGGAAUUGCAUCUGGUGACUGACAUAGCUAGAGUACGGUAGAGGGGGAUGGAAUUCCGCGUGUAGCAGUGAAAUGCGUAGAUAUGCGGAGGAACACCGAUGGCGAAGGCAAUCCCCUGGACCUGUACUGACGCUCAUGCACGAAAGCGUGGGGAGCAAACGAGG